AGAACCCCGGGAGGGGAGUGAAAUAGAACCUGAAACCGCAUACAUACAAACAGUAGGAGCCUCUUCAGAGGGGUGACUGCGUACCUUUUGCAUAAUGGGUCAGCGACUUACGUUUUGUGGCGAGCUUAACCGAAUAGGGGAGGCGCAGCGAAAGCGAGUUCGAAAUGAGCGUUCAGUCGCAGGGUGUAGACCCGAAACCAGAUGAGCUAUCCAUGGCCAGGUUGAAGGUGUGGUAACACACACUGGAGGACCGAACCGACUAGUGUUGCAAAAUUAGCGGAUGAGCUGUGGAUAGGGGUGAAAGGCUUAACAAAUCUGGAGAUAGCUGGUUCUCCCCGAAAACUAUUGAGGUAGUGCCUCGUGUGUCGCUCCAGGGGGUAGAGCACUGUUUUGGCUAGGGGGACAUGGAGUCUUACCAAACCAAGGCAAACUCCGAAUACCUGGAAGCGUAAGCACGGGAGACAGAGCACCGGGUGCUAACGUCCGGACUCAAAAGGGAAACAACCCAGACCGCCGGCUAAGGUCCCAAAUAACAGCUAAGUGGAAAACGAAGUGGAAAGGCCGUGACAACCAGGAAGUUGGCUUAGAAGCAGCCAUCCUUCAAAGAAAGCGUAAUAGCUCACUGGUCGAGUCCUUCUGCGCGGAAGAUGUAACGGGGCUAAGCUGUUAACCGAAGCCGCGGAUGCGCUGGUUAUCCAGUGCGUGGUAGGGGAGCGUUCUGUAAGUCUGCGAAGGCGGUUCGAGAGGACUGCUGGAGAUAUCAGAAGUGCGAAUGCUGACAUGAGUAACGUUAAAGCAGGUGAAAAGCCUGCUCGCCGUAAGCCCAAGGAUUCCUGCUCUACGUUCAUCGGAGCAGGGUGAGUCGGCUCCUAAGGUCAGGCCGAAAGGCGUAGCCGAUGGGAAUCAGGUUAAUAUUCCUGAACCUGCGUCAGAUGCGAUGGGGGGACGGAGCAUGGAAGAUCAUCCGGGUGUUGGAAGUCCCGGUUGUUUAGCGUAGGAGGUCUGCAGGCAAAUCCGCAGACGCAUCUCCAAGGCAAAGACACGUGCCGCCACGGCGGCGAAGUGAUCGGAAGUGCUUCCAAGAAAAGCCUCUAAGCCCCAGUCUGAUGCGGACCGUACCGCAAACCGACACUGGUGGGCGAGCUGAAUAUGCUCAGGCGCUUGAGAGAACUCGGGAGAAGGAACUCGGCAAAUUGACACCGUAACUUCGGAAGAAGGUGUGCCGUAGUACCGUGAGAGGAGAGACACCUUGAGCGGGAAACGGUCUCAGAGAAUAGGUGGCUGCGACUGUUUAUUAAAAACACAGCACUCUGCAAAGUCGAAAGACGACGUAUAGGGUGUGAUGCCUGCCCGGUGCUGGAAGAUUAAUUGAUGGGGUGAGAGCCCUUGAUCGAAGUCCCAGUAAACGGCGGCCGUAACUAUAACGGUCCUAAGGUAGCGAAAUUCCUUGUCGGGUAAGUUCCGACCUGCACGAAUGGCAUAAUGAUGGCCACACUGUCUCCUCCCGAGACUCAGUGAAGUUGAAAUGUUUGUGAUGAUGCAAUCUACCCGCGGCUAGACGGAAAGACCCCAUGAACCUUUACUGCAGCUUUGCAUUGAACUGUGAACCGAUUUGUGUAGGAUAGGUGGGAGGCAGAGAAAGCGCCACGCCAGUGGUCUUGGAGCCGACCUUGAAAUACCACCCUGAUUUGUUUGCGGUUCUAACCACGGACAGUGAUCCUGUCUUGGGACCGUGCAUGGUAGGCAGUUUGACUGGGGCGGUCUCCUCCUAAAGGGUAACGGAGGAGUACAAAGGUACGCUAGGUACGGUCGGAAAUCGUGCUGAUAGUGCAAUGGCAAAAGCGUGCUUGACUGCGAGAGCAACAAGUCGAGCAGAUGCGAAAGCAGGUCAUAGUGAUCCGGUGGCUCUGAAUGGAAGGGCCAUCGCUCAACGGAUAAAAGGUACUC
rnacentral:rRNA from 1 species